AAGGAUUAAAGGCAAAGAAGAGCAUCAGUGAAAAUGCUCACAGUCCCAUGAGAUGAAGCAGCAGAAACUAAUUCAGAUUGGACAGAUGGAUGGAUUGAUGGACCAAUGGACAGACAGAUCAACAGGCAGCCUACAAGUUCCUCUGAUCUGGGAAUUCUGCAGACUCCGUCGUCACAGGGUCAGGAGCCUCCUCUCUGAAUCUGCUGUCUGGGUGCUGAACACAUCUGAUCUUCAGGUCCUUGGUGGCAAAUGGGG
rnacentral:lncRNA from 1 species